UAAUACGGAGGGUGCAAGCGUUAAUCGGAAUUACUGGGCGUAAAGCGUGCGUAGGUGGUUUGUUAAGUCAGAUGUGAAAGCCCCGGGCUCAACCUGGGAACUGCACUUGAAACUGGCAAACUAGAGUAUAGGAGAGGAAAGUGGAAUUUCUGGUGUAGCGGUGAAAUGCGUAGAUAUCAGAAGGAACAUCAAUGGCGAAGGCAGCUUUCGGGACUAAUACUGACACUGAGGUACGAAAGCGUGGGUAGCAAACAGGAUUAGAUACCCUGGUAGUCCACGCCGUAAACGAUGACAACUAGCCGUUGGGGGGAUUUACCCCUUAGUGGCGAAGCUAACGCGUUAAGUUGUCCGCCUGGGGAGUACGGCCGCAAGGUUA
rnacentral:rRNA from 1 species